UUGUGAGUCAUGAUAAAGAUUUUUUGAAUAAGAUCACUACAGAUAUUCUUCACAUCGAUUCCAACCAAAAACUCACUUCUUAUCGA
rnacentral:ribozyme from 1 species